rnacentral:rRNA from 1 species
CCUAAUGGGAGUGUAAGGGCGCAUGGUGGAUGCCUUGACUCUAAUUGGCGAUGAAGGACGUGGUAUAUCUGCGAUAAGCUUCGGGGAGGUGAUUAACAACCUUUGAUCCGGAGAUUUCCGAAUGGGGGAACCUAAUCGAGUAACCCUCGAUUGUUUGUAAUUUAUUACAUUCGCGCACCUAGGGAAGUGAAACAUCUCAGUACCUAGAGGAAUAUAAACCAAUAAAAAACUGCCCUUUUGUCGCGUGUGGUGCACACCUUGUGUGUACUCCAUUCUAACGCGGCACAAGGGUGGUUUAUGGAUUCCCUUAGUAGCGGCGAGCGAAAAGGGACAAGCCCAAACCUUCUGAUUAUUAUCAAGAAGGGGUUGUAGGGUGAUGACGGAGUUUACUCGAAGAGUUACAAAGAAGAUUAUUAAAGGAAUUUGCUGGGAAGCAAAACCAUAGAAGGUAACAGUCCUGUAUUUGAAAAUAAUCUUCCUCUUUUGUCAUCAUUCCUGAGUACUUCGGGACAUGAAUAGCCCGGGGGAAACCGCCAGGACUAACUGGCAAGGCUAAAUACGAUUAGAGAUCGAUAGUGAACCAGUACCGUGAGGGAAAGGUGAAAAGCAGCCCGGGAGGGCGUUGAAAUAGUUCCUGAAACCAUGUGUCUACAAUGAGUCGGAGCGCGAAAGCGCGACGGCGUGCCUAUUGAAGAAUGAGCCAACGAGUUGUUGCUAAUCCUAGUCUAAGGGGUAACCCCCGGAGGCAUAGUUAACGCGAGCAUUAAUAGUGCGAUAAGGGUUAGCAACAGACCCGAAGCCAAGUGAGCUUACCAUGAGCAGGGUGAACGCGCGCGAAAGCGCGCGGGAGGCCCGAACCGUUAGAUCGUACAACUUCUUCGGAUGACUUGUGGUAAGGAGUGAAAAGCUAAUCGAACUUGGUAAUAGCUGGUUCUCUCCGAAAUAGCUUUUGGGUUAGCGUCGUGUGAUCCCUCUGGGGGUAGAGCACUGGAAGGAAUGAACAGGGAGAAAUCUCGUCAUUCCUAUCAAACUCCGAAUACCAGAGAUUACAGCACGGCAGUUAGACUCCGGGGGCGAAGCUCCGGUGGUCAAAAGGGAAACAGCCCAGACCGUCAAUUAAGGUCCCUAAAUUCAUACUAAGUGCACUUAAGGAGGUAAGAUUUCUCCGACAAUGAGGAGGUUGGCUUAGAAGCAGCCAUCCUUUAAAGAAAGCGUAACAGCUCACUCAUUAAGAGAUCUCGCGCCGCAGAUUAUCGGGGCUAAGUAUGGUACCGAAAUUACGGAUUGGCCGCGUGUUCGCACGUGGUCAGUGGUAGGAGAGCGUUCCCUGUCGCGCUGAAGCCGGACCCGUGAGGGCUGGUGGAGCACAGGGAAGUGAGAAUGUUGGCACAAGUAACCGCAAGGCAGGUUAAAGCCCUGCCCGCCGAAAAACCAAGGUUUCCUUCGCACUGUUGAUCAGCGAAGGGUUAGUCGGUCCUAAGGAGAUGACAAUCGUCGGAUCCGAUGGCCAUACGGUUAAUAUUCCGUGACUUCCGCAUACUGCGAUGGAGGGACGGAGGAUAGUACACGAAGCACGCGAUCGGAUGUGUGUUCGUGCCUUAAGAAUAGCUACUAGGGAAAUCCGGUAGCAGUCUUCGGACAUAUUCAAAUGGAGCGAAAAUGCCGCGCUACGGCAAAGCAAAUUUCGUGGAGCAUCCUUCCAAGAAAAUCUUCUAAGCAUAAUUAUGUGGGAACCGUACCCCAAACCGACACAGGUGGUUAGGUCGAGAAGACCAAGGCGAACGAGUGAGAGGCCCUCAAGGAACUCGGCAAAAAAGCGGCCGUAAGUUAGCGAUAAGGCCUGCCCCUAGCAAUAGGGGCCGCAGCGAAAGAUUCCCUGGCGACUGUUUACCAAAAACACAGCUCCAUGCGAACUCGUAAGAGGAUGUAUAUGGGGUGACGCCUGACCAAUGCCCGAAGGUUAACUAUGGGCGGUGCUAUUCUGUUUACAGGGUAGUGCUGGACUAUAUAAGCCCGGGUGAAUGUCGGCCGUAACUAUAGGGAAGGUGUGCUACCACACUGUUGUAGUUACGCAAAAAAAUCUUGCUAUAUGCGGGAAACUCCGAGAAUCUUGUACUAGGCUAUUAUGGUGGUGACACCAUAGCGAACCCUAAAAAUGUACAAGUGCGGACAAUCCGCAGGGAAGACCUCUUUUUAUCAAAAACAGAGGAACCCUCAGAGACUACACGCAAGACAUCCAAUAGAUAAAUAGUAAGUUGUCGACUUUCUAUUGGUAAAGAUAUAGUCCGAUCUCUAUGGCGACAUAGAGCUAACAUGACCGAACGGUCCUAAGGUAGCGUAAUUCCUUGUCUGGUAGUGUGAACUGCCAGUGCGAACGGUGACGUUCGUAAAAAAUUCGGCUAAUAACGGUGAAGCCUACGUCCAUGUGGAUAAGGUAAUACCGUGGGAAGUCAUCACAAUCGUGAUUGACCCCGUAUCGACUUUGGUUUGGUAAACCAAGAUGGAUGUUUCUUUAAACUCCAUAACACGCCGACUCUGACGGAAGUCAGAUGAAGAUAUAGUCAGUGCCAUUGGAAACAAUGGAAUGAGAGUUUGUAUGAAAAUACAUACUCGAGACACACGAAGUUCAGACGUGCACGAAUGGCGUAACGACUGGGGAACUGUCUCGAGGGCUUGCUCGGUGAAAAUACAGUGGCGGUGAAGAUGCCGCCUACCCGUGGUUAGACGAAAAGACCCCAGAAGCUUUACUAUAGCUUGAUAUUGGGUAUACGGUGUUGUUGCGUAGCAUAGGUGGGAGACUUUGAAGCGUAGACUUCGGUUUACGUGGAGUCGCAAUAUGAAAUACCACUCUGCAACGUUGUAUACUCUAACCUACGUAGUAAAAAUGCGUGGAGACAGUAUCUGGUGGGUAGUUUUAGUGGGGCGCUAUCCUUGGCUGUGCCAUUUAUUGCAUAAAUGAAUGACGCUGCCAAACUAUGGCGCCCCCUAGGAAUCUACUCCGAUUCCGAAACAAAUAAAUAAGGGGGUAUUCUUGUAAACAAAAGAAUAGGUAAUUCAGCUAUAUGCUGAAACAUCUGUGCCUUUAAUGGCUGAAGAAUGCACAUUACCAAAGCGUAAAAAUAUGUGUAUGCAGACAAUCAGCAGGGAAGGCCUUGUAAAAACAACAAGGAACCCUCAGAGACUAUACGCUGAAUCCAUCGUGUUGAUGGAAAGAUAUAGUCCGAUCUCUAUGGCGACAUAGAGCUUGCUAGCUUAACUAGUAAGACCCAUGAAUACAAAAGAAAUCAGAGAGUAUAAAGAGACUCUUAAGCUUACAGAUAUUCAGCGAUCUGUUCUUAUAGGAACCUUGCUUGGAGAUGGUCAUCUUGAGACGCAAAAUGGUGGUAGAACCUAUCGUCUUAAAAUUGAGCAUUCAAGUCUGCAAAAAGAUUAUGUGCGGUGGCUAUACAAACAUUUCAGUGAGUGGAGUAGAAGUGGAAUAUAUUCAAAGACUAAGAAUGAGGGGCGAGAAUAUGUUGGAUUUAAUACUUAUUCUCACGGCUCCUUUCGAUUCUUCGGUCAACAGUUCUAUGAAGGUAGAAAAAAGAAAAUUCCACAAAUGAUCAGUAAGCUAAUUGAUCCACUUAGUCUCGCAGUAUGGUUUAUGGAUGAUGGUUCUUGGAAAUCUAAGAAACAUAAGACAUUUAUUAUUCAUACUCUAGGAUUCAAAAAAGAGGACCUCGAAUUGAUUCAGAAAGUUCUAAAGAAGAAAUUCAAUAUAGAGGUUUCUCUUCAUAGGCAAAAAGGAAAGUAUUGGAGGCUUUAUAUUGAUUCUAAAUCCGCAGAAGAUUUUAGGACAAUUAUAGAGCCGUAUACAAAAUCUAUUAUGUCUAUGAGAAAUAAAAUGGGUAACAUAAAUGCCUAAAAAGUAACGGAGGAGUCUAUUAAGGUCAGCUAGGCGCGAAUGGAAACCGUGCCGAUAGUGUAAUGGCACAAGCUGGCUUAACUGCAAGACGCACAUGUCGAGCAGAUGCGAAAGCAGAGCAUAGUGAACCGAUGGUCCGCUUUAGAUGCGGCCAGAGAUUAACGGAUAAAAGCUACUCUGGGGAUAACAGGCUGGUACUGCCCGAGCGUCCAUAGCGACGGCAGUGUUCGGCACCUCGAUGUCGGCUCAUCUUAUCCUGGGGCUGGAGAAGGUCCCAAGGGUUUGGCUGUUCGCCAAUUAAAAAGAUACGCGAGCUGGGUAAGUGGUUUAGAAUGAGCCCAGCGAGAGUCCUUCUACGAGAAAAAAUAAAAGAGGGAACAUAGUAAACUGACUCAUAACGGUGGAGUCCUCUUAUUCGUGGUAAAAUAUGGAUAAUGGAUAAUUCCGUGGGAAGAUUACAACAUCUUUUUCCAUCACAUCAAUUUGAUGUGAUUAUUGGGUCAUUGUUGGGGGAUGCGGGAUUAGAGUGUCGCUCAAAAGGGAUCAGAAACCCUGUGACGGCACGAUUGCGUGUCCAUCAAGGAGCGAAGCAAAAAGAAUAUGUUUUUUGGAAAUAUUUUAUUCUAAAAGAUUUAAUUUCUCGAGAACCUCGAGAAAUAGUUUGGGAUAAUCCAAAAAGAGGUUUACACGAGGUUUCAUGGUAUUUUCAUUCCAGAAGUUCAGAGGAACUCGGAGUGUUGUAUAACUACUUAUAUCCAGAGGGAUAUAAAGUGUUGCCUGUAGAUAUAUUCGAUAUGCUCACUCUUCAAAGCUUAGCAGUUUGGUUUAUGGAUGAUGGUUCUCACAACGAGAACAGUCUUACGUUAAACACUCACGGCUUUUCUAGGGAAGAACAAGAAAGAAUUGUUGAUUUUUUCUGCAAGGAGUAUGACAUUAUUUGUCAUAUUGUGAAAGAUAGAUCAAAAUUCAAGAUUGCCUUCGGAAAAAGCCAAGUAGAUUCGUUUAUACGUCUAAUUAAACCGUUUGUUAUUCCAGCAAUGAACUAUAAGGUUGUAUAUCCCCGUAACGACUUUCUGUUAAAAACAGAAGAACUCACAGUGUUUACUGGAGUUAACACGUCAGUUCCAAGAUUGGAAAGCUUGGAAAAGGUAUAGUCUGUUCUGCUAGAAAUAGCAGGUUAAGAAAUGUCAGACCGUACAGGAUGCGAUUAUAUCGUGUUCUGUACCAAUCUGAACCCCUUCGAUGAGUUUUAGUUUUUUCGUCUAAAAAAGAUAAACCAACCAUAUUACGGCGGCCUUUUGUGGCAACACAAAGGGAGAAGUCGACUCAUAUCGGUAAAACCCCAACCGGGGCAAUACCGAGGGAAGUUGCGCGAGCAACCCCGUAGAGACUACACGUCGACUCAUUCAGUAAUAUGAAUGAAUGGUAUAGUCCAAUCCAUCUGGUAACAGAUGAAAAGAUGCGUGAGACAGGUUGGUCUCCUAUCUACCACGGGCGUUGAUUUUUGAGGGGAGUUAUCCAUAGUACGAGAGGACCUGGAUGAACUGACCUCUGGUCUGCCAGUUGUCGCGCCAGCGGCAUUGCUGGGUAGCUAUGUCGGGAACGGAUAACCUCUGAAAGCAUCUAAGAGGGAAGCCGACCCCAAGAUCAGAAAUCGUUUGAGGAUCCUAGGAGAUGACUAGGUUGAUAGGCUCUAGGUGUACGUGUAGCAAUACAUUUAGCCGAGGAGUACUAAUGAUCCGAUCCCAUUAGGAA